rnacentral:tRNA from 1 species
UCCUUGGUGGCUCAGUGGUAAAGAAUCUGCCUGCCAAUGCAGGAGACACUGGUUCAAUCCCUGGUCCAGGGUG